rnacentral:rRNA from 1 species
GACGAACGCUGGCGGCGUGCCUAACACAUGCAAGUCGAACGAGGUCCAAGGAAGCUUGCUUCCUGAAGACCUAGUGGCGAACGGGUGAGUAACACGUGAGAAACCCUGCCUCGGAGUGGGGAAUAACUCGGGGAAACUCGAGCUAAUACCGCAUACCUUCACAUGAUCGCAUGGUCGAGUGAAGAAGAAUUUCGCUCUGAGAGGGUCUCGCGGCCUAUCAGCUUGUUGGUGGGGUAACGGCCUACCAAGGCAACGACGGGUAGCUGGUUUGAGAGAACGAUCAGCCACACUGGGACUGAGACACGGCCCAGACUCCUACGGGAGGCAGCAGUGGGGAAUCUUUGCGCAAUGGGCGAAAGCCUGACGCAGCAACGCCGCGUGCGGGAUGACGGCCUU